AUUGAACGCUGGCGGCAGGCCUAACACAUGCAAGUCGAGCGGAUGAAGGGAGCUUGCUCCUGGAUUCAGCGGCGGACGGGUGAGUAAUGCCUAGGAAUCUGCCUGGUAGUGGGGGAUAACGUCCGGAAACGGGCGCUAAUACCGCAUACGUCCUGAGGGAGAAAGUGGGGGAUCUUCGGACCUCACGCUAUCAGAUGAGCCUAGGUCGGAUUAGCUAGUUGGUGGGGUAAAGGCCUACCAAGGCGACGAUCCGUAACUGGUCUGAGAGGAUGAUCAGUCACACUGGAACUGAGACACGGUCCAGACUCCUACGGGAGGCAGCAGUGGGGAAUAUUGGACAGUGGGCGAAAGCCUGAUCCAGCCAUGCCGCGUGUGUGAAGAAGGUCUUCGGAUUGUAAAGCACUUUAAGUUGGGAGGAAGGGCAGUAAGUUAAGACCUUGCUGUUUUGACGUUACCAACAGAAUAAGCACCGGCUAACUUCGU
rnacentral:rRNA from 1 species